rnacentral:lncRNA from 1 species
ACAUCAUGAUAUGCACUAUCUUUUAUUUUAUUCUUCGUGUGAAGUUGUUCCGACUUCCAUCUACUAAGGGCAAUACGAAUUUUUGAUUACCUAUAUGGAAUGACAAGUUCAUUUCAUUUAUUACAGCAAUUUGUGGCUUGCCAAAACAGCAACACAUUUAUAGUUUGCUAAAUCAUGAUACGAUCUAUGACCACAGCUGCCCCAACCACAAUGAUACUACAUGUUAACUAUGGCCACAGUCGUACUUUGUCAAAGGUGACCCCUACAAUCAUAUCGCAUCACCACUCUCGUCAGAGGGUAUGCCGUCAUCCACAUGGAACGGUCCUCUUACAUCUUUUCAUACCAGAAGGAGGAGCAAUAAAAACCCCUCAGAGAUAAAAAGCCUAAUGAAACAUUUUGUGAAUUAUGCAUGUUAAUGCAAAUUCAUAUUUCUCAUGUAUAUACAUCAAUGUCAUUUUAAAUUUAUUUUUCCAUCAUCAAUUGCAU